UCGGAUUCCGCGGUCGGCGGGGCGGGCGCGCGCGCCGGGGGUCGCGCGGCCGCUGAGAAGGGCGAGCACGCGCGGAGGGAGUGGAGGCGUAGAGGGGUGGGAGUACGGCUCGUUUGCUCGCAAGAUGGCGGACGAGGACGGGGAAGGGAUUCACCCCGCAGCCCCUCACAGGAACGGAGGCGGCGGCGGCGGCGGCGGCGGGGGGUCUGGGCUCCACUGCGCCGGGAACGGCGGCGGUGGAGGCGGCGGCCCGCGGGUCGUGCGCAUCGUCAAGUCCGAGUCCGGCUACGGCUUCAACGUGCGGGGCCAAGUGAGCGAGGGCGGGCAACUGCGGAGCAUCAACGGGGAGCUGUACGCGCCGCUGCAGCAUGUGAGCGCCGUGCUGCCCGGGGGGGCGGCCGACCGGGCCGGGGUGCGCAAGGGGGACCGCAUUCUGGAGGUGAACGGCGUGAAUGUUGAGGGGGCGACACACAAGCAGGUGGUGGACCUGAUCCGAGCAGGCGAGAAGGAGUUGAUCUUGACAGUGUUAUCUGUACCUCCUCAUGAGGCAGAUAACCUAGAUCCCAGUGACGACUCGUUGGGACAAUCAUUUUAUGAUUACACAGAAAAGCAAGCAGUGCCCAUAUCGGUCCCCACAUACAAACAUGUGGAGCAGAAUGGUGAGAAGUUUGUGGUAUACAAUGUUUACAUGGCAGGGAGGCAGUUGUGUUCUAAGCGGUACCGGGAGUUUGCCAUCCUACACCAGAACCUGAAGAGAGAGUUUGCCAACUUUACAUUUCCCCGACUUCCAGGGAAGUGGCCAUUCUCUUUAUCAGAACAGCAAUUAGAUGCUCGACGUCGGGGGUUGGAAGAAUAUCUAGAAAAAGUGUGCUCAAUACGAGUCAUUGGUGAGAGUGACAUCAUGCAGGAAUUCCUAUCAGAAUCAGAUGAGAACUACAAUGGUGUGUCUGACGUUGAGCUGAGAGUAGCAUUACCAGAUGGAACAACAGUUACAGUCAGGGUUAAAAAGAACAGUACUACAGACCAAGUAUAUCAGGCUAUUGCAGCAAAGGUUGGCAUGGAUAGUACGACAGUGAAUUACUUUGCCUUAUUUGAAGUGAUCAAUCAUUCAUUUGUACGUAAGCUGGCGCCUAAUGAAUUUCCUCAUAAACUCUAUGUCCAGAAUUACACAUCAGCUGUACCAGGCACCUGCCUGACCAUUCGAAAGUGGCUUUUUACGACAGAAGAAGAAAUCCUCUUAAAUGACAAUGACCUUGCUGUUACCUACUUCUUUCAUCAGGCUGUUGAUGAUGUGAAAAAAGGUUACAUCAAAGCAGAGGAAAAAUCCUACCAGUUACAGAAGCUGUUUGAACAAAGGAAAAUGGUCAUGUACCUCAACAUGCUAAGGACUUGUGAGGGCUACAAUGAAAUCAUCUUCCCCCACUGUGCCUGUGACUCCAGGAGGAAGGGGCAUGUUAUCACAGCCAUCAGCAUCACGCACUUUAAACUGCAUGCCUGCACUGAAGAAGGACAACUGGAGAACCAGGUAAUAGCAUUUGAAUGGGAUGAGAUGCAACGAUGGGAUACAGAUGAAGAAGGAAUGGCCUUCUGUUUUGAAUAUGCACGAGGAGAGAAGAAGCCUCGAUGGGUUAAAAUCUUCACACCAUAUUUCAAUUACAUGCACGAAUGCUUCGAGAGGGUGUUCUGCGAGCUCAAGUGGAGAAAAGAGAACAUUUUCCAGAUGGCGAGGUCACAGCAGAGGGAUGUGGCCACCUAGCCUUUCGUUACCCUCUUCCCUUCUCUUCACCCUCAUCCUCUCAUCCCUUUCGUCUCCCAUGUCAGACAGAGUAACCAUUAACACAAAAGAAGAGAAAAAGGAAAAAAGGCAUUAUAUUCAAAAGCCCUAAGCUAAAUAUUAAUAAUCCCUCUGAAUUUCAUAGCUCUGGAAUUGAGCUGGUAGAGAACAACAGAUGGGUCAGCACCAGGAGUCAGCUGAGUUAAGACAGGAAAAGAAAUAAGCCCAACCAACUCGCCAAAGCUCUGCAGAGCAUUCCAGAAUGAAGCCCAAAAGAAGGGCGGAAGAAUAGGAUCAUGAAGCGGUGAUCAAGGCCUGGACGCUGCUCACAGGCAAGGCUGGGCCUUCCUGAUAGAGUUUUCUCUCCCAAACCUCACUCUCCUCACCUGCCUCCCUCCCGUCCCCGAGGGGCACCGUCCCCUGCCUUCAACCUUCCGAGACACUUAUUUGAUGCUUUUAAACUUUUUUCUUUAUUUAGACAGAAAAGACCAACUCUUUGAAAGUAAAAUGCAAUAAAUAAAUAA